rnacentral:misc_RNA from 1 species
GAAAUGCGAUAAGUAAUGUGAAUUGCAGAAUUCAGUGAAUCAUCGAAUCUUUGAACGCACAUUGCGCCCCCUGGUAUUCCGGGGGGCAUGCCUGUUCGAGCGUCAUUUCACCACUCAAGCCUCGCUUGGUAUUGGGCAACGCGGUCCGCCGCGUGCCUCAAAUCGACCGGCUGGGUCUUCUGUCCCCUAAGCGUUGUGGAAACUAUUCGCUAAAGGGUGUUCGGGAAGCUACGCCGUAAAACAACCCCAUUUCUAAGGUUGACCUCGGAUCAGGUAGGGAUACCCGCUGAACUUAAGC